GCCUAAUACAUGCAAGUCGAGCGAACGGAUAAGGAGCUUGCUCCUUUGAAGUUAGCGGCGGACGGGUGAGUAACACGUGGGUAACCUACCUAUAAGACUGGGAUAACUUCGGGAAACCGGAGCUAAUACCGGAUAACAUUUAGAACCGCAUGGUUCUAAAGUGAAAGAUGGUUUUGCUAUCACUUAUAGAUGGACCCGCGCCGUAUUAGCUAGUUGGUAAGGUAACGGCUUACCAAGGCGACGAUACGUAGCCGACCUGAGAGGGUGAUCGGCCACACUGGAACUGAGACACGGUCCAGACUCCUACGGGAGGCAGCAGUAGGGAAUCUUCCGCAAUGGGCGAAAGCCUGACGGAGCAACGCCGCGUGAGUGAUGAAGGGUUUCGGCUCGUAAAACUCUGUUAUUAGGGAAGAACAAAUGUGUAAGUAACUGUGCACAUCUUGACGGUACCUAAUCAGAAAGCCACGGCUAACUACGUGCCAGCAGCCGCGGUAAUACGUAGGUGGCAAGCGUUAUCCGGAAUUAUUGGGCGUAAAGCGCGCGUAGGCGGUUUCUUAAGUCUGAUGUGAAAGCCCACGGCUCAACCGUGGAGGGUCAUUGGAAACUGG
rnacentral:rRNA from 2 species